UACGUAGGGUGCAAGCGUUGUCCGGAAUUACUGGGCGUAAAGCGCACGUAGGCGGCUUUGUAAGUUAGAGGUGAAAAGCCCAGGGCUCAACCCUGGAAUUGCCUUUAAGACUGCAUCGCUUGAACAUCGGAGAGGUAAGUGGAAUUCCGAGUGUAGAGGUGAAAUUCGUAGAUAUUCGGAAGAACACCAGUGGCGAAGGCGACUUACUGGACGAUUGUUGACGCUGAGGUGCGAAGCGUGGGGGAGCAAACAGG
rnacentral:rRNA from 1 species